rnacentral:rRNA from 1 species
CCUACGGGGGGCAGCAGUGGGGAAUAUUGGACAAUGGGCGAAAGCCUGAUCCAGCCAUGCCGCGUGUGUGAAGAAGGCCUUCGGGUUGUAAAGCACUUUCAGUGGGGAAGAAAGCCUUGGGGCUAAUACCCUCGAGGAAGUACAUCACCCACAGAAGAAGCACCGGCUAACUCCGUGCCAGCAGCCGCGGUAAUACGGGAGGGUGCGAGCGUUAAUCGGAAUUACUGGGCGUAAAGCGCGCGUAGGCGGUCUGAUAAGCCGGUUGUGAAAGCCCCGGGCUCAACCUGGGAACGGCAUCCGGAACUGUCAGGCUAGAGUGCAGGAGAGGAAGGUAGAAUUCCCGGUGUAGCGGUGAAAUGCGUAGAGAUCGGGAGGAAUACCAGUGGCGAAGGCGGCCGUCUGGACUGACACUGACGCUGAGGUGCGAAAGCGUGGGUAGCAAACAGGAUUAGAUACCCUUGUAGUC